rnacentral:lncRNA from 1 species
CUUCACCGCUUCACCACCGCCAUCCCACCCUUUUUCAGCUGCAGUGCACAAACACAAAAUAAACGAAAGAGAGAGCGAGAUCUCAGAGACCAGAGGAGUUGAAGACGAGAAUCAGGGAAGAGAAGGAGUUGUUCUGCGAGGGACAAGAAAGGGAGAGGAAGGAGGAAGCCGCGCCAUCAUCGCGCCCCAGCUUGCCGCCGCCGUAUCCUGCUGCUGCCACCAUCGCAAAUCAGAACUGAGACGAGUGACAGACGCGAAGGAGGAGGGAAAACUGCGCGUUGCCGCUGCGCCUAAUUGCAACCUCGCCGCGAAGUCACCAUCGCUGUUGAGGAGCAGAUCCGCAAAGAGAGAGAAUGUGCGAAGAGAGAGAGAGAAAGAGAGAGACCGAUGAAAGGGUGUACGCACGAGAGGAAGCCACCUGUGGAGCUGCCUUCGCGUUUAGCCGUCACCGCUGCCACACCCUCAACAGCUCUUCUGGAUGCGAGUUGGAGGAGCUCGUCCUCGCCGUUCUGCCGCCCUCAUCGCGCUCUGUCGCCACGCCAGGUCAGAAGCCAUUGCCAUUAAGUAUGCCGUUCUGCUCGUUGAAGAACACCGGCAUCAUAGCCUCUGUUAUACGGUCAGCUCAGCCUUCCCCGUUCUAGUUUUGGUUCUGGUCCAGUUCAUUUAGGUUGGUUUUGAUUCUUUUGAGUGUCAGAGCUGCCGCUGCCGCUCUGUUUCCCUUCUUCCUUUUGUUACAGUAUGUACCCCUGUUUAGAAACCCUUACAGCUUGCAUAUACAUAUUCUGUUAUAAGUUAUUGAGUUUUAUGUAACGUUAAUGUCUUGGGGCUGAGCUAUGAUUCUUGCGUGCUGUGUUUAGAGGCUGUACUGCUGUGGCUGUGAUUAUUGAAAACCUGUCAUAUGAGUAAUGGAUGAAUUGAGUUUGGGUUAUGGUUGUGAUUAUGACUGGUUACGUUGUUGUGGGUGAUUAACUGGUGAGAUUGGUUUUGGUUUGAUUUUGUUGGUAUUGAAUUGAGAUUUGAAAAUGAUUCUGAUAUUGGAAUUAGUUUGAGUUAUUGGAAAUGAUUGAGAAAAAGUUGAGAAUAGUUCGGUUGGAAUCCAAAAAUGGUGGCAAAGUCCGAGUUUUAUGGGAGAUGCUGUCGGAAUUUUUUUAUGAAACUUAAGACUUUGUUUGAAAUAUUUAGAAAAAGGUUGGAUUUGAGAAAUUGUGUUAUUUGGUUUUUGAUUUAUUAAGAAAAGAUUUAUGUUUGGGUUUGAUUUGUUAAAAAAAGCUUUAUGUUUUGAAUGUGAUUUAAUAAGAAAAGAUCACGUAUUGAGUUUUGACUUAUUAAGAAAGACUUUAUGUUUUGAGUUUGAUUAAAGAACUACAUUUUAAGGAAUUAUGAUUCAAGGAGUUUAUUAAUUUUAAAGAACUAGUUUGAUUGUCGCCCUCCCUAAAGUCUCGAGAUUUUGCCGUGAGAUUUACUUAAUAAAUGAUUCUUUUAGUCUUUUGAAAGAGGUUUAAACAUGAAAUGGUUUUGAAGUUGAUUUGGAAAAAUCAUGGUUAAGUAAGAAUUGAUUUUUGUAUGAAAGAAGAAAUUGUUGUAAAUAAAGUGAUUUCAGAGGUUUGGAAAAGGUUAUAAGGAGUGGGGUUGGUUUUAAAUAAAAAUGAUUUGAGUUCGGUUUGUUAAGAGAAAGAAAGAAAGAGAAAAGAUAACACGGCACGGGUAAUUAUGAAAUGAAUAAAAGGCCACGAGAGGGUGACGGAAAGUAAGUAGUUAUGGUACCGAUGUGAGAAUGUUAAGCCGUGGACUUUAUAUGUGAAUGAUUGUGCGGGAAUGCCCGUGUGUAUGGAAUGGCUUCUAGGAGAAAGGGGCACAUGCUUCGGCUGGAGAAAUAGCGCCUGCAAGUACUUGCAGAGGUAAUGUUCGGCAUACUUCAGCUGGAGAAUCAGCGCUUGCAAGAAGUAGAAACUUGCAGAGGUUUUGCCGCUGGAAUGCCUUAUCUGACUUGCGAGUCGGAUUCCAUCGGGUGCAGGUCGAAACCGACAAAUGAGCUCAUUACCUGCGAUAGGACAAGACAUGCAUCAUCUUUGUUUGCGCAUUUGCAUUUGAUUGUGUUUGUUUAUCUUGUUUCUCUAUGAUUGUGAUGUUCUUCUUAUUGCUAUUUGAUUGUGUGUUGAUUUGUUUCCUGUGCUAUUAGUUUGUGUAUUGAGGUGACUGAGAACUGUGGUUGUGAUUGAGAUUUGUGUUAAGUUUGGAAAUUUAAAGAAGGUAAUAAAUUAUAUAAAGUAAAAGUAAAAAGUAUUUUUAAAGGUUUAACAAAAUAAUUUUAUUGAGUAAGUUAACUAUUUGCAUUAUAUUCGUUACUUUUACGGCAUUUCCAUUCCCGACUGAGAACGUGUGGUUUGUUCUCACCCCAAAAUCUUCCACCCUUUCAGGGACACAGGUUCAAAGACUCAGUUUGAAGCUGCGGGCGAUUACUAGUCUAAUUUGAGUUAAGUUUAUGUGUUGAGUUUCUUUUAUAGAAUUUUCUCGCCUUUUGUAAGACCCAGAACCUUUGAAAAGUCUUUUUAUGAUCAAGUCUCAAAUUAU